UCCGUAGGUGAACCAGCGG
rnacentral:rRNA from 1 species